CAAGAGGAGGGACAUGGACGGGCUGGUAAAAAACCGAAUACCACGCGCCACGGGCCCGGUGCGGCCAGCGCUUCACCCCCGGCGGGCACCAAGAUGUUGCAGACCCUAGACUGUGGAAACAGCAUCCCUUUCCCAUCAGAACUGCCCCUCAUCGAUUCGUUUAUGGCAAGACUAAAGACAUCUAUACUCCAAGCCUUUCCUGACGUCCUCUGAGUGAGACGACAUGUAUAUAUGUAUGUAGUUUGUUUGUUGUGCUAAUCUUAUAACAAAUGUAAAGCACUUUGUCCAACGAGAGUUGUUUUUUAAAUGUGCUAUAUAAUAAAUGUGACUUGACUUGACUU